UGAAGAUGGCUUAUUUAUUAUCAGAAAUUACCUUGUAAAGUGAUAUCCGAUUGAUGCUACUGAAGAGAUGUUGGCACUGCACCAUGGAUGCCAUGUAGUCUGUGUGUGUAGUUUCAGUCCUAGCUGAUUUAUGGAUUCUGGAGGGUCAUAACGGAGAAUAUAUUUCACAAAAUAUAGACUCAUUUUUCUAAGUUUAGCUUCAUGUAAAUUUUCACUUUUCCUUCC
rnacentral:misc_RNA from 1 species